GAGAUUCCAAGCCGAACUUGUUCUUGGGGAAUUCGUAAUGAAGCGCUUUUUCGUAGCGUUUAACUCGGUAAAUAGUGAAAGUUAAAAUCCUACGAAGCUCGACGGCUCGACCAAGCUCGACCAAGCCUGAAAAUUUCUUUCCUAACUAGAGUCGAUAAACUAUCAUCAUUUGUUCAUCGAAAAAUGAAUCCGAAUAAGCGACGGGAAAUUUACACGUAGAACUGUGACGAAAUAAACAAGUGGGGAAAGGUGAAGGAUGGAAAUGCGACGAGUACAAUCAGCCGAUAUUGCAGG